AUUGAACGCUGGCGGCAGGCUUAACACAUGCAAGUCGAGCGGGCGAGGUUGCUUCGGUAACUGAGCUAGCGGCGGACGGGUGAGUAAUGCUUAGGAAUCUGCCUAUUAGUGGGGGACAACAUUCCGAAAGGAAUGCUAAUACCGCAUACGCCCUACGGGGGAAAGCAGGGGAUCUUCGGACCUUGCGCUAAUAGAUGAGCCUAAGUCAGAUUAGCUAGUUGGUGGGGUAAAGGCCUACCAAGGCGACGAUCUGUAGCGGGGCGGAGAGGAUGUUCCGCCACACUGGGACUGAGCCACGGCCCAGACUCCUACGGGAGGCAGCAGUGGGGAAGAUUGGACAAUGGGCGCAAGCCUGAUCCAGCCAGGCCGCGUGUGUGAAGAAGGCCUUUUGGUUGUAAAGCACUUUAAGCGAGGAGGAGGCUACCGAGAUUAAUACUCUUGGAUAGUGGACGUUACUCGCAGAAUAAGCACCGGCUAACUCUGUGCCAGCCGCCGCCGUAA
rnacentral:rRNA from 1 species